GGGUUGCGGACAGUGUCUGGUGGGUAGUUUGACUGGGGCGGUCUCCUCCUAAAGAGUAACGGAGGAGCACGAAGGUUGGCUAAUCCUGGUCGGACAUCAGGAGGUUAGUGCAAUGGCAUAAGCCAGCUUGACUGCGAGCGUGACGGCGCGAGCAGGUGCGAAAGCAGGUCAUAGUGAUCCGGUGGUUCUGAAUGGAAGGGCCAUCGCUCAACGGAUAAAAGGUACUCCGGGGAUAACAGGCUGAUACCGCCCAAGAGUUCAUAUCGACGGCGGUGUUUGGCACCUCGAUGUCGGCUCAUCACAUCCUGGGGCUGAAGUAGGUCCCAAGGGUAUGGCUGUUCGCCAUUUAAAGUGGUACGCGAGCUGGGUUUAGAACGUCGUGAGACAGUUCGGUCCCUAUCUGCCGUGGGCGCUGGAGAACUGAGGGGGGCUGCUCCUAGUACGAGAGGACCGGAGUGGACGCAUCACUGGUGUUCGGGUUGUCAUGCCAAUGGCACUGCCCGGUAGCUAAAUGCGGAAGAGAUAAGUGCUGAAAGCAUCUAAGCACGAAACUUGCCCCGAGAUGAGUUCUCCCUGAGACUUUAGGUCUCCUGAAGGAACGUUGAAGACGACGACGUUGAUAGGCCGGGUGUGUAAGCGCAGCGAUGCGUUGAGCUAACCGGUACUAAUGAACCGUGAGGCUUAACCUUACA
rnacentral:rRNA from 1 species